UAAAUUCGGGGAUUGAAAAGGGGGAUUCCCCUUUCCGGUCUAGAGGGGGUGCUCAGAAACACGUAGUGUUUCGUCGAAGGGGGG
rnacentral:sRNA from 1 species